AAUAAAGUGCCUGAUAAAAGGACUAUUCUGAUAGAAUAAAUAAUGUAAUUUAUUUUUACCUUUAUUA
rnacentral:tRNA from 1 species